AUGAGGAGACAGCUUGUCUUGACUGCCAACAGUUGCUGCAAAAACAAAAUAAAAUCAUCAACCAGCUGAGUCAAAAGGUCCGAAAUUUGGAGGCCACGCCAAGAUCAGGAGCCGAGUGGACACUGGCAUUUCGUGGUACAGCUUACAUAGGAAAAUCUGUUUAUGACGCCUAUAAGGACGGUACUGGGAUCCCAAGUGAGGUGGAACCCGGAUGUAAACAGGUGACCGACCCCCUACCAUGUAAGAACCACUACAGAAACUCAGAAGUGUUCGAUAAUUGGGGAAGAGUUCAGGAAGUCGCUUUCAUCCUGUACUCCAACACCAGAAGGUCAAGGAGAUUUUGUUUGACGGCACAAAAACAAACUACAU